AAGCAUGAGUGGAAGCUGGGAUCGUCGUCCGUCCUAAGGGCAAUUAUGACAUUUUAACCAAACCCAGAAGCUUCUUUUUAACCAAACCGACAAGCUUCUUCUUUUUAACCAAACCCACAAGCUUUUCUCCUUCUUAGUAGAUACUAAAAAUACAGUAUAAUCACCUUUUUCACGCGCCACUAUUUGUGAAAACAAUCUAUCAGCAAAUCAAGAAGCUUUAGAAAAAUAUUGUGUAAUUUUCACUCAUAUCAUCUAGCCCAGGCCGUUGCUGCAAUUUUCAAAUCUAUCUCAGAUUGAUUAUUCAGGUUCUCUGAUAUACUUCUCGGUGCUGAUUAUUAUCUUCCAUUUUUUAUCUGAACAAAGAAAAUUCUCAAGCCGGUUCCUACCCAAGAGUUUUUUCGGGCAGCUAAAUGGGAAAAUAUUGAGGUAU